rnacentral:rRNA from 1 species
GAUGAACGCUGACCGAAUGCUUAACACAUGCAAGUCGAUGGGGAAGUGGUGCUUGCACCAUGGUAACCAUGGCGGACGGGUGAGUAACGCGUAAGGAACUUACCUGCGGGACCGGGAUAACAGCAGGAAACUGCUGACAAGACCGGAUAAGGUCAUUAAGCUGCAUAGCUUAGUGAUGAAAGGAGACGCCUGCGGAGAGCCUUGCGUCCUAUUAGCUAGUUGGAGGGGUAACGGCCCACCAAGGCGAAGAUAGGUAGCCGGCCUGAGGGGGUGGACGGCCACAAGGGGACUGAGAUACGGCCCUUACUCCUACGGGAGGCAGCAGUGGGGAAUAUUGGACAAUGGGGGCAACCCUGAUCCAGCAAUUCUGUGUGCACGAAGACGGUUUUCGGAUUGUAAAGUGCUUUCAGCAGGGAAGAAGGAAGUGACGGUACCUGCAGAAGAAGCGACGGCUAAAUACGUG